rnacentral:rRNA from 1 species
UACGUAGGGGGCGAGCGUUGUCCGGAAUUAUUGGGCGUAAAGAGCUCGUAGGCGGUUCGUCGCGUCGGCUGUGAAAACCUGAGGCUCAACCUCAGGCCUGCAGUCGAUACGGGCGGACUUGAGUACUGCAGGGGAGACUGGAAUUCCUGGUGUAGCGGUGAAAUGCGCAGAUAUCAGGAGGAACACCGGUGGCGAAGGCGGGUCUCUGGGCCGAUACUGACGCUGAGGAGCGAAAGCGUGGGGAGCGAACAGG